CUCUGUGACUCCUACGGGAGGCAGCAGUGGGGAAUAUUGCACAAUGGGCGCAAGCCUGAUGCAGCCAUGCCGCGUGUGUGAAGAAGGCCUUCGGGUUGUAAAGCACUUUCAGUUGUGAGGAAGGUGGUGUCGUUAAUAGCGGCAUCAUUUGACGUUAGCAACAGAAGAAGCACCGGCUAACUCCGUGCCAGCAGCCGCGGUAAUACGGAGGGUGCGAGCGUUAAUCGGAAUUACUGGGCGUAAAGCGCAUGCAGGUGGUUUGUUAAGUCAGAUGUGAAAGCCCGGGGCUCAACCUCGGAACUGCAUUUGAAACUGGCAGACUAGAGUACUGUAGAGGGGGUAGAAUUUCAGGUGUAGCGGUGAAAUGCGUAGAGAUCUGAAGGAAUACCGGUGGCGAAGGCGGCCCCCUGGACAGAUACUGACACUCAGAUGCGAAAGCGUGGGGAGCAAACAGGAUUAGAUACCCUGGGUAG
rnacentral:rRNA from 1 species